rnacentral:misc_RNA from 1 species
GAAAUGCGAUAAGUAAUGUGAAUUGCAGAAUUCAGUGAAUCAUCGAAUCUUUGAACGCACCUUGCGCUCCUUGGUAUUCCGAGGAGCAUGCCUGUUUGAGUGUCAUUAAAUUCUCAACCCUUCCAGCUUUUGUGAGCUGCGAUAGGGCUUGGAUAUUGGGAGGUUGCGGGCCUAUAUAAGGUCGGCUCUCCUGAAAUGCAUUAGCGGAACCGUUUGCAGUCCCGUCACUAGUGUGAUAAUUAUCUACACUGUGAUGACUGCUCUCUAGUUUGUUCAGCUGCUAAUUGUCCACUACCGGACAACUCUUAAUGAACCUCUUGACCUCAAAUCAGGUAGGACUACCCGCUGAACUUAA